rnacentral:rRNA from 1 species
GGAGUUAGCCGGUGCUUCUUCUGUGAGUGAUGUCCUUCCUGCCGGCUAUUAACCCGCAGGCCUUCUUCCUCACUGAAAGUGCUUUACAACCCGAAGGCCUUCUUCACACACGCGGCAUGGCUGGAUCAGGGUUGCCCCCAUUGUCCAAUAUUCCCCACUGCUGCCUCCCGUAGGAGUCUGGGCCGUGUCUCAGUCCCAGUGUGGCUGAUCAUCCUCUCAGACCAGCUACGGAUCGUCGCCUUGGUGAGCCGUUACCUCACCAACCAGCUAAUCCGACAUAGGCUCAUCCGAUAGCGCGAGGCCCGAAGGUCCCCCGCUUUCCCCCGUAGGGCGUAUGCGGUAUUAGCCUGGGUUUCCCCAGGUUAUCCCCCACUACCGGGCAGAUUCCUAUGCAUUACUCACCCGUCCGCCGCUCGCCACCAGGGAGCAAGCUCCCCGUGCUGCCGCUCGACUUGCAUGUGUAGCUGCCGCCAGCGUCAUCUGAGCGAGAUACAACUACUGA